GCCGUACAGAGAUCUAACUUUGAGAAGUGGCUUGGAGUCAUUAAAUCUAAAAUAAAAUUCAUAAAGAUCGACGAUAUAUGGAUAUUCAUUGAUUCACCUAAAGGGAUAAGAUCCAUAGGGUAUGAGUAGAUUUUAGAUGGAUAAGAGGCACAGACAGAAAGAUGGAGACCUAUUAAUUCUGUCCGAUUGUCAAAAAAUUUCAUC
rnacentral:lncRNA from 1 species